UAGGAUUUGUAUAAGAUUUGACUAGGAUUUAUUUAGGAAUUGGUUAGAAUUUUUUUAGAAUUUGGUUAAGGUUUAUUUAGGAUUUGCUUAGAAUUUGGUAAGGAUUUUUUUAGGAUUUGAUUAAAAUUUGGUUAGAAUUUGUUUAAGAUUUGACUAAGAUUUAUUUAGGAUUUGAUUAGAAUUUGCUUAGGAUUUGUUUAGGAUUUGAUUAGGAUUAAUUUAUGAUUUGAUUAUGGUUCUUUUAGGAUUUGGUUAGAAUAUGUUUAGGGUUUGUUUACGAUUUUUUAAGGAUUUGACUAAGGUUUAUUUUCGAUUUGGUUAGGAUUUUGUUAGGAUUUGUUUAGGAUUUGUUUAGGAUUUUAUUAGGAUUUUUUUAGGAUUUGUUUAGGAUUUGAUUAAGGUUUGUUAGGAUUUAUUUAGGAUUUAUUUAGGAUUUAUUUAGGAUUUGAUUAGGAUUUGUUUAGGAUUUGAUUAGGAUUUGGUUAAAGUUUGAUUAAAUUUUAUUUAAGAUUUGAUUAAGAUUUGUUUAAGGUUUGAUUAGAAUUUUUUUAGGAUUUUUUAAAGAUUUUUUUAGGAUUUGAUUAGGAUUUGGUUAAGAUUUCAUUAGGAUUUAAUUAGAAUUUGAUUAGAUUUUGAUUAAGAUUUAAUUAAGAUUUUUAUUUUAAUAUUUUAUUAAUAUUUCUAUUUUAAUAUAUUUUUGAAUUUCUAUGUUAUUUCUUUAUGAUUCUUUAUAUUUUUUACAUAAU
rnacentral:lncRNA from 1 species